rnacentral:rRNA from 1 species
ACCUACGGGGGGCAGCAGUGGGGAAUAUUGCACAAUGGGGGAAACCCUGAUGCAGCAACGCCGCGUGAGUGAGGAAGUAUUUCGGUAUGUAAAGCUCUAUCAGCAGGGAAUAGAAAAGAAGGUACCUGAAAAAGAAGCCCCGGCUAACUACGUGCCAGCAGCCGCGGUAAUACGUAGGAGGCAAGCGUUAUCCGGAAUGACUGGGCGUAAAGGGUGCGUAGGUGGUUUGGCAAGUUGGUAGCGUAAUCCCGGGGCUCAACCUCGGUGCUACUACCAAAACUGCUGGGCUUGAGUGCAGGAGGGGG